rnacentral:rRNA from 1 species
GAUGAACGCUGGCGGCGUGCCUAAUACAUGCAAGUCGAACGAAACUUCUUUAUCACCGAGUGCUUGCACUCACCGAUAAAGAGUUGAGUGGCGAACGGGUGAGUAACACGUGGGCAACCUGCCCAAAAGAGGGGGAUAACACUUGGAAACAGGUGCUAAUACCGCAUAACCAUAGUUACCGCAUGGUAACUAUGUAAAAGGUGGCUAUACUACCGCUUUUGGAUGGGCCCGCGGCGCAUUAGCUAGUUGGUAGGGUAAAGGCUUACCAAGGUAAUGAUGCGUAGCCGAAUUGAGAGGUUGAUCGGCCACAUUGGGACUGAGACACGGCCCAAACUCCUACGGGAGGCAGCAGUAGGGAAUCUUCCACAAUGGGCGAAAGCCUGAUGGAGCAACGCCGCGUGGGUGAAGAAGGUCUUCGGAUCGUAAAACCCUGUUGUUAGAGAAGAAAGUGCGUGAGAGUAACUGUUCACGUUUCGACGGUAUCUAACCAGAAAGCCACGGCUAACUACGUG